AACGAACGCUGGCGGCAUGCCUAACACAUGCAAGUCGAACGAGACCUUCGGGUCUAGUGGCGCACGGGUGCGUAACGCGUGGGAAUCUGCCCUUGGGUUCGGAAUAACAGUUGGAAACGACUGCUAAUACCGGAUGAUGACGUAAGUCCAAAGAUUUAUCGCGCAAGGAUGAGCCUGCGUAGGAUCAGCUAGUUGGUGAGGUAAAGGCUCCCCAAGGCGACGAUCCUUAGCUGGUCAGAGAGGAUGAUCACCCACACUGGGAGUGAGACACGGCCCGGAAUACUGCGGGAGGCAGCAAUGGGGGAUAUUGGAAAGUGGGGGAUAGGCUGAUGGAGUAAUGCUGGGAGAGCGAUGAAGGCCGGAGGGAUGUAAAGCAAUUUUAUCCGGGAUGAUAAUGACGGUACCAGGAGAAUAAGCACCGGCUAACUUCGUG
rnacentral:rRNA from 1 species